UGUAGAGUGAGAAAACUGUUAUGAAACACCAGCAAAAAAGACUAGAUUGUUAUUCAGUCCUGACUUAUUCAGUGUCUCUGAAGAUGAAGAUUAGGUAUGUAAUAAUGAGGUUUUAAUUUGAUAGAUUGUUGACUUUUAAAUUGUAAAAGUUUAAUGAGUUACUGUAAGUUAAUCCAUUUAUUGUAUAAAUUAAAAUUCAAUAAUUACUGUUCAAGUGCAUAAUAUAGCCAUCUUUAUCUUGCUGUAUCCAGAGGCAAUAUAUAUAAGAAAAUGUGGUAUGGGUGCCAAUGAGACAACUCUCCAUCCAAGUCACAAUUUAUAAAAGUAAACCAUUAAUCAACACGGAGCAAGACUAUUAUUAACUACAAUAAAGAGAGUGAAUAAUAUUAUAUAAGCAAAAUAGACAUCAUAAUUAAGAUUAAAAGAAAGACAGACAAUUUCUUCAUCAAAGAUUAUAAAUUUUGGUAUGAUAACUAAAAAUAUUAACGAAAUGACUAUUUGAUGUAAUUAUUUAAAUCGUAUACCCAAACAUGCCAAAAGGAAAACUUUUUUUUUUCAUAUUUGAAUUUGUCGUUAUUUCUUUCAGAUCAGACCUAUCCAGAAGCAAGAAAAAGGACAAUUUUUAGCACGUACAUCUACAGAGAGAGACAUGUUUUAAAAAACAGAUUUAUUUUCAAUUUAAGAAAAACCUGUUGAACUUUUACUAUUUCUUAUCUGUUUAUUUUAUAUUUAUAUGCUGAUAUUUUGUUUUUUAAAAUUGCUGCACAGUAUUUAUUUUCAGUCCAAC
rnacentral:lncRNA from 1 species